rnacentral:rRNA from 1 species
GGACGAACGCUGGCGGCGUGCCUAACACAUGCAAGUCGAACGGAGUUCCUUCGGGGACGUUAGUGGCGAACGGGUGAGUAACGCGUGAAGAACCUGCCUUUCAGUGGGGGACAACAGUUGGAAACGACUGCUAAUACCGCAUAAUGUUAUUGAGGGCAUCCUCGGAUAACCAAAGAUUUAUUGCUGAAAGAUGGCUUCGCGUCUGAUUAGCUAGAUGGCGGGGUAACGGCCCACCAUGGCGACGAUCAGUAGCCGGUCUGAGAGGAUGAACGGCCACAUUGGAACUGAGAUACGGUCCAGACUCCUACGGGAGGCAGCAGUGGGGAAUAUUGGGCAAUGGGCGAAAGCCUGACCCAGCGACGCCGCGUGAAGGAAGAAGGUCUUCGGAUUGUAAACUUCUUUUGUCAGGGAAGAGUAGAAGACGGUACCUGGCGAAUAAGCCACGGCUAACUACGUG